rnacentral:rRNA from 1 species
ACAACUUUCAACAAUGGAUCUCUUGGCUCUCGCGUCGAUGAAGAACACAGCGAAAUGUGAUAAGUAAUGUGAAUUGCAGAAUCCAGUGAAUCAUCGAAUCUUUGAACGCAUCUUGCGCUCCUUGGUAUUCCGAGGAGCAUGCCUGUUUGAGUGUCAUUAAA